rnacentral:lncRNA from 1 species
GGAACUUUAAUGCUGGACGUUUUAAAAGUAGAAAAAAUAAAAUUUAUAUUCCUUUAAACGCUUCUCAAGCCGCUAAUUAACCCCCCAUGCACCCCGCCGCCACCGUCCUGUCUCCAGUUUCCCGCCGGUGGAGCUGCUAGCAUGGAUGCUAACCUCUGUCGUUCGACACAGUUUUGUACUUUUCAAACUCACCUCAGGACAGAAAGUUCCAGCGAAACACACGGACUCUGUCGGCUCUCUGCGACUGGAAUUAUUCGAGAACCUUCGUGGGAGUUCGCGCCACUUUCAUAGCCUGACAGAUGUAAAGUUCCUCUCUCAUAAACCGGCGGUUGUGUAGAGAAGGAGCACGCCGUGUGUGUUUAAGGAGACGUGGUCAGCUGACUGCAGCAGGAUGGAUGGAUGGAUGGACAGAUGGAUGCAGGUCUGUCUGUUAAUCAUUAAUAAAGUGGAUUAGCCGGUCUUCUGUAAAUAUGAAGAAUGCACACAGAGCUUCAUUAGCUCUGCCCUCUCCCAGCACGCCGUUAAGAGGCAGCCAGUCUCCCUUCAGCCUCCUUCCCAGCAGCUCAGGAGCCGUUUCUGCUGCUCCAGACAUGCUGCUGGUCCUCCUCGUCUCCACCUGGAUUCAUAGACCAGCUCUGAGGAUCUGUCUGAGCUCAAUCUCAUCCGUGAACUUUGUUUGAGUUGGAGCCUGUGGCUUUGUGUCAGCGUCAUGCCGAUGAAGCGCAGCAGCAGCUCCGCCUCAGAAGACCUGUUUCUGCUUCACCCUUUCAGCAGAAGUUUGAGCAGCUCUCCAGAGGAGGCGUCCACGGAUGUUAGCGGCCGCACGCCGUUUCACCGGGAGAACGAUUCUGGGAUCAAAUCAGAAGACAGCAACGACACGCCGUCAUCCGAGGAGGACCCGGACCUGACCUCCGACCCCCGGCAGAACUUCGGCAGGAAGACCGUCAGCCAGCUCGUCAAGAACAAGAAGAAGCAGAUGCAGCUCACUCUGCAGUGGUAAACGUCUGAGAUGUGUCUGAGGUUCUGUUCAGAUGUCGAUGUUGUCAUCCUUCUUCAGAUCUCUCAUUGUCACAGUU